CGACCUUCUUUAUUGUUCUUUUUGUGUGUUUUCUUGAAGCAAACCCACUAGCAAUCGUUGGAUCUUUGUCAAUUGUGGAACCAAGAAUCUAAGAAUUGCUAAAGAUUUUGUCAGCAUAAUAAGCUAGCACCUUUAUAUUUGGAUGUCAUUAGAAGUAAUAUUUAAUUACAUUGCUAAAACAAUAGCUCGCAAAAAUAAAAAUCUUGC
rnacentral:lncRNA from 1 species